UUGACCUCGGAUCAGGUGGGGAUACCCGCUGAACUUAAGCAUAUCAAUAAGCGGAGGA
rnacentral:rRNA from 7 species